rnacentral:rRNA from 1 species
CCUACGGGAGGCAGCAGUGGGGAAUAUUGCACAAUGGGGGGAACCCUGAUGCAGCGACGCCGCGUGAGUGAAGAAGUAUUUCGGUAUGUAAAGCUCUAUCAGCAGGGAAGAAGAUGACGGUACCUGACUAAGAAGACCCGGCUAACUACGUGCCAGCAGCCGCGGUAAUACGUAGGGGGCAAGCGUUAGCCGGAUUUACUGGGUGUAAAGGGAGCGUAGACGGCAGGGCAAGUCUGGAGUGACAGCCCGGGGCCCAACCCCGGGACUGCUUUGGAAACGGCCAUGCUGGAGUGCUGGAGAGGUAAGCGGCAUUCCUUGUGUCGCGGUGCACUGCGUAGAUCUUCGGCGGACCCCCAGUGGC